rnacentral:sRNA from 1 species
UACUGCGCAAAUAUCGUCACUACGAAAUU